rfam:Triticum aestivum genome assembly, contig: Triticum_aestivum_CS42_TGACv1_scaffold_030772_1BL
UUUGUACUCCCUCCGUUCGGAAUUACUCGUCCAAGAAAUGAAUGUAUCUAGAUGUAUUUUAGUUGUAGAUACAUUCAUUUUUAUCCAUUUUAUGACAAGUAAUUCCGAACGGAGGGAGUAUUAU